AAGUCGAGCGAACAGACGAGGAGCUUGCUCCUCUGACGUUAGCGGCGGACGGGUGAGUAACACGUGGAUAACCUACCUAUAAGACUGGGAUAACUUCGGGAAACCGGAGCUAAUACCGGAUAAUAUAUUGAACCGCAUGGUUCAAUAGUGAAAGACGGUUUUGCUGUCACUUAUAGAUGGAUCCGCGCCGCAUUAGCUAGUUGGUAGGGUAACGGCUUACCAAGGCGACGAUGCGUAGCCGACCUGAGAGGGUGAUCGGCCACACUGGAACUGAGACACGGUCCAGACUCCUACGGGAGGCAGCAGUAGGGAAUCUUCCGCAAUGGGCGAAAGCCUGACGGAGCAACGCCGCGUGAGUGAUGAAGGUCUUCGGAUCGUAAAACUCUGUUAUUAGGGAAGAACAAAUGUGUAAGUAACUAUGCACGUCUUGACGGUACCUAAUCAGAAAGCCACGGCUAACUACGUGCCAGCAGCCGCGGUAAUACGUAGGUGGCAAGCGUUAUCCGGAAUUAUUGGGCGUAAAGCGCGCGUAGGCGGUUUUUUAAGUCUGAUGUGAAAGCCCACGGCUCAACCGUGGAGGGUCAUUGGAAACUGGAAAACUUGAGUGCAGAAGAGGAAAGUGGAAUUCCAUGUGUAGCGGUGAAAUGCGCAGAGAUAUGGAGGAACACCAGUGGCGAAGGCGACUUUCUGGUCUGUAACUGACGCUGAUGUGCGAAAGCGUGGGGAUCAAACA
rnacentral:rRNA from 1 species